GGAGGAGUGUGGACUCAGGGGCAGGAGUUGGAGCCGUGCUUUGAGUCAUACCAGUGUGUUCUGCCAGCGGUAUUUAACCAGCACCACACCCUGAACAGACUUCAUAACGGGAACAAUCUACUGCUAUCUCUAGGUUCUGUUCUCUAAGGGAUUUCACAAUGGCGUUGGUUUCCGAGUUCCUGGGCCAGCUCACGCUGAAUUUUGGCGGGGAGAGCGAGCCUAAAUUCCCCACGGUGGUGGCAGCAAGGGAUUUUGAUCCAGCUAAAGAUGCCGCCAGGAUAGAAACGGCUGUCAAAACCAAGGGUGAGAGAAUCACAGCAACGAUUAUCGUAGUCCCAUCAGUUACAGUCUA